rnacentral:misc_RNA from 1 species
GAUGAAGAACGUAGCGAAAUGCGAUAAGUAAUGUGAAUUGCAGAAUUCAGUGAAUCAUCGAAUCUUUGAACGCACAUUGCGCCCGCCAGUAUUCUGGCGGGCAUGCCUGUCUGAGCGUCAUUUCAACCCUCAUGCCCCUAGGGCGUGGUGUUGGGGAUCGGCCAAAGCCCGCGAGGGACGGCCGGCCCCUAAAUCUAGUGGCGGACCCGUCGUGGCCUCCUCUGCGAAGUAGUGAUAUUCCGCAUCGGAGAGCGAUGAGCCCCUGCCGUUAAACCCCCAACUUUCCAAGGUUGACCUCAGAUCAGGUAGGAAUACCCGCUGAACUUAAGCACAUCAAUAAGCGGAGGA